CCUACGGGGGGCAGCAGUAGGGAAUUUUCGGCAAUGGGGGGAACCCUGACCGAGCAACGCCGCGUGAACGAAGAAGUUAUUCGUAAUGUAAAGUUCUUUUAACAGGGAAGAAAGAGAAAUUUGACGGUACCCGAAGAAAAAGCAUCGGCUAACUCCGUGCCAGCAGCCGCGGUAAUACGGGGGAUGCGAGCGUUAUCCGGAUUUAUUGGGUUUAAAGGGUGCGCAGGCGGAAGAUCAAGUCAGCGGUAAAAUUGAGAGGCUCAACCUCUUCGAGCCGUUGAAACUGGUUUUCUUGAGUGAGUGAGAAGUAUGCGGAAUGCGUGGUGUAGCGGUGAAAUGCAUAGAGAUCACGCAGAACUCCGAUUGCGAAGGCAGCAUACCGGCGCUCAACUGACGCUCAUGCACGAAAGUGUGGGUAUCGAACAGGAUUAGAUACCCGAGUAGUC
rnacentral:rRNA from 1 species